rnacentral:misc_RNA from 1 species
UCUCCGUAGGUGAACCUGCGGAGGGAUCAUUACAGAGUUCAUGCCCUACCGGGUAGAUCUCCCACCCUAUGUUAUUAUUACUUUGUUGCUUUGGCGGGCCGUUAGGCUCCGGCCCGACUACCGGCCCCGGCUGGUAAGCGCCCGCCAGAGGACCCAAAACCCUGAAUAUUAGUGUCGUCUGAGUACUAUAUAAUAGUUAAAACUUUCAACAAUGGAUCUCUUGGUUCUG